rnacentral:rRNA from 1 species
AUGCUGCUGCUGUUGGAGACGCCCUCGGGCUUUGCAAUUCUAUCUUUCGACGGGGCCCAGCUCUAUCUACCAGGCGCCAAGGAGAUUAUUUGGCUCAAACAAUUCAAAAAGUUCAAGGACAAGUCUAGCGCCAUUAGGUUCGAUACUGGUGUUUGCAGAAGGCUGUCUAAGUUCAUCAAGAGGUGGCGCCGUCCUGGGCAGAUGUUAGUUGUUGGGAAACCUGAGUAUAAAACAAUCAUAGAAGCGAGCAUGGGCAUACCUUGCGUUUUCGAUGAAACUGUGAUGGAGGUGAUGUGGGGCGUGAAGCAUAUCAUGCAUAGUCUGGUCAAUGAGCGCAUUGUUCUGUCAGCAUGUGCCUUGUAUGAUUGCGAUGAAAUCGAGAAGAAACAUGAUCGGUCCUUGAGACGUGCCGGUGAGCAACUUAAGGAUGUGUCUGGCAUCAACACCCAGGGCUGGAGCUUACUGGAACUUUCAACAGCUCUGAUGCUUAUAUGUUUUUCUGAAGAAGAAAUUCUAGUUGGUGAUCCGGAAGAGUUAUUUACAGCUGAGGAGCUGUGUAAGUUCCAGGAUGAUGCACACGAAUACGACGACAAGAUCUCAAAGUACCCAUGCCGAAGAAUCUACGAAGAACUAGUGUGUGCCUUUGAAGCUAGAGCAGCGAAUAGAAUACUUUUGACCUCCUUGGUUAAGGAGGCAAGUGCGCGUUUCUCUCCGGUACCCGAAGCUUGCAAAGUACAACCAUGGCAUAUAGCUAAGAAUAGCAUCAAUUCAUUCGAUCACCCACGGAGAAAAUUGGUAAUGCCGGCCCCUGCUAUUGAGCAAGUUUGUAGAACAAAGAAGACCGUGCAGCCCUCGAGAUGGGUGCGGAUGCUUUCCAACGUGAAGCUCUUGCCUCACAUGCUCACGGCUUUCAUGAAGCGGGAGCUCGGGUCCUGCAGAUUGCUGCGGGAGAUCAUGACGAAGGUACAUCGCUGGAGGAAGAUGAAGCUGUUGACAUGCAGGAAGAUUGAGAAGACUGUUGGUGGUACAGCUUGCUAA